GUUUUAUGUGCUUGUGGGGAAUUUCUGUGUUUUUGUUGAAGAAAUACCAGUUCAAGCACUCUUGUCCAUUUUUUUUUUGUUUGUUUUCUUUUUAUUAUUGUAAGAGUUCUUCAUAUAUACUGGAUUCUACAUUUAGAUGAUUUAUAAAUAUUUUCUCCCAUUUGGUAGGUCUUCUUGUCAGUUUCUUGAAAAUCUCCUUUGAUGCACAGCUAGAAUGGCUCUGAAACCUGUUCUCACUUUGAGACUUUUGAGCUCUGGAGAAAGUGGAACCCACCACCACCACCACCCCUUACAGAGCCUGAGUUGCCUGUAUCUCUGUUGAACUGUUCCUGCAAAGGAACUGCUUCUCUAUUUCAUCUCUCUCCCAGGGCACAACUGAAGGAAAUCAGUGGACACUUGCAAACGUUUCUUGGAAAGCUUUCCUAGCCAAAAACGUGUUUGUUAGUUUUGCCAGUUACCUUGCUGCUAAAAGACGUCAGUCAGCAUCUUUCCAUCUUCUGUUCCAGUAGCAGUUUUUCUUUUCCAGCCUUCUCAGGCACUUCCCUGUUCUCCCAGCCUCGUCAGGCAGCAGUGCCAAGUGCUCUGCCCCUCACUCUGGCUGCUGGUUGCUGUGUCAAGUAUUUGGUGACCGCUCACCCAGAACAGUGGCUUAUGAUAACAUUGAUUUGCUUCACGUGGGUGUGCUCAUCUGUCAGCUCACCUUGGGUUGGGAGCUCCAUGACAUUGCUCAGGCCCUCCAGGUGCUUUACUUCCUUAUAUGUCCUGUCAGAGUACCCUUGUUUCUGAGCAGUGGCCACAGAAUUCCUAAAAGUGGCAGGGGGCAGGCAGCAGAGUCAGAGGCUUAGAAGACUUCACAUCACUUCUACCAGUCUUUUGGUCACCCUGAGUCACUGAGCCAAUCAACACAGAAGUAGCUGCAUAGAUAUAAUAUCCAUGUAUGUUUAUAGAUAUUUGAUAUAUAUGUGUGUGUGUUUGUGUGUGUGUGUGUGUGUGUAGCUACUCCUGUGCUUCAAGUUGG
ensembl:lncRNA